rnacentral:misc_RNA from 1 species
GGGCUUCGCUGCUGGCGCUUGAUUGUGCUGGCGGCUCGAGGCCAUCAAGCGGCGUUUUGAGUGUGUGUUGCGGCCCAAUUGAAACGUCCAAACCUUUUAAACCCAUUUGAUUGCAAACUGAAGUAUACUGUGGGGACGAAAGUCCUCGCUUUGAAACUAGAUAACAACUUUCAGCAGUGGAUGUCUAGGCUCGCACAUCGAUGAAGAACGCUGCGAACUGCGAUACGUAAUGCGAAUUGCAGGAUUCAGUGAGUCAUCGAACUUUUGAACGCAUAUUGCACUUUCGGGUUACGCCUGGAAGUAUGUCUGUAUCAGUGUCCGUACACUAAACUUGCGUCUCUUCCGUCGUGUAGUCGUCGGUUGUUUGAUUGCAGAUGUGAGGUUGUCUCGCGAUCCGUUGCUUGUCGACAGGGUUGCGAGUCCCUUUAAAGUCGGACGCGUGUUUUUUUUCCGUUUUGUGCUCGAUGGGGUGCGGCUGCGGCCGUGUCUGCUGGCGGGUCCGGUGACCUUUGGCGAUGGCAUGAGAGUGGAUUGCUCGAUUUGCGGUAUGUUAGGCUUCGGCUUUGACAAUGCAGCUUAUUGGGUGUGUUCGCUUGGCUGUUGCUGUAUGGGUGAGCUGGAUGGUCGGUGGGUGCGUUGUUGCGUGUCGUUUUCAUUGUGUGCGUUUCGGUUGUCGUCGCCAUUUGGGAAUUUAUGGUCUCUAAGGAGAGCAUCU